rnacentral:rRNA from 1 species
UACGGGGGGGGCAAGCGUUGUUCGGAAUUACUGGGCGUAAAGGGCGCGUAGGCGGUUGGAUAAGUCAGCUGUGAAAACCACGAGCUUAACUCGUGGCCUGCAGUUGAGACUGUCUGGCUUGAGUGUGGGAGAGGAGAGUGGAACUGCGAGUGUAGAGGUGAAAUUCGUAGAUAUUCGCAAGAACACCAGUGGCGAAGGCGGCUCACUGGCCCGAUACUGACGCUGAGGCACGAAAGCGUGGGGAGCAAACAGG